rnacentral:rRNA from 1 species
CCAGACUCCUACGGGAGGCAGCAGUGGGGAAUAUUGGGCAAUGGGCGCAAGCCUGACCCAGCAACGCCGCGUGAAGGAAGAAGGCUUUCGGGUUGUAAACUUCUUUUAAGAGGGAAGAGAAGAAGACGGUACCUCUUGAAUAAGCCACGGCUAACUACGUGCCAGCAGCCGCGGUAAUACGUAGGUGGCAAGCGUUGUCCGGAUUUACUGGGUGUAAAGGGCGUGCAGCCGGGCUGACAGGUCAGAUGUGAAAUCCCGCGGCCCAACCGCGGAACUGCAUUUGAAACUGUCAGUCUUGAGUGCCGGAGAGGUCAUCGGAAUUCCUAGUGUAGCGGUGAAAUGCGUAGAUAUUAGGAGGAACACCAGUGGCGAAGGCGGCCUACUGGACGGUGACUGACGCUGAGGCUCGAAAGCGUGGGGAGCAAACAGGAUUAGAUACCCCAGUA